CACCGCUGGCCAUAGGAGUGCCACCCAGGAUGUCCUGGCCAGCUGGGCCCCUGAAGACUGUAGCCUCACCCAUACCACGGAGGGCAGAACACCCCUAGCUGGGCCUAGGCAACUCAUAGAGUCGUGAGACAUAAUAAAAUGGGAUUUAUUUUAAGCCACUAAAUUCUGGGGUGGUUUGUUAUACAGCAAUAGAUAAAUAGAACAGCCUUCAACAACGAACGUUUGCUGAGUGCCUACUGUGUCCCAGGCACUGCAUAAGACUCUGGAGAAGGCACGGCAUUUUUGUCUCUGGAUUCAGGACCUGCUAGGAGCCUUUAACUUCCUCCCCGUGCAGUCUGAACCAGGCCUGAGCAGGAGCGUGUGGCACUCGGUGUCGUCUCCGCAGAAACGGCAUCAAGAGCAAGGCUGAUGCUCUCAUAGCUGGGUGGAGGCCAGGCGGGCUGGGUGCUGAGCAGGGCAUCCCUCGAUCCACUUGGCUCCAGGGCUUCCUCCGUAGGGUAUGCAGGUGAAGGUGUGGUGGUGGAGGACGCCAGGGCUGAGCGACCCUACCAGCGGCGACCCUCGGGUCUGC
rnacentral:lncRNA from 10 species